rnacentral:rRNA from 1 species
ACAGGGCGGAUGCCUUGGCACUAAGAGCCGAUGAAAGACGUGAUAAGCUGCGAUAAGCUUCGGGGAGGAGCAAAUAUCCCGUGAUCCGGAGAUGUCUGAAUGGGGAAACCCACAUGAGCAAACCUCAUGUAUCCUACAGCCAAUACAUAACUGUAGGAAGGGAACCCGGGGAACUGAAACAUCUAAGUACCCGGAGGAAAAGAAAGAAAACUCGAUUCCGUAAGUAGCGGCGAGCGAACGCGGAGGAGCCUAAACCGGAAUGCGUGCAUUCCGGGGUUACGGACUGCAUUUAAGAUUCUUUGAAGCUAACAGAACGGUUUUGGGAAAGCCGGCCGGAGAGGGUGAAAGCCCCGUACGUGAAAGCUGAUGAGACUGAGCAGGAUCCAGAGUACCACGAGACACGUGGAACCUUGUGGGAAAUCAGGGGGACCACCCCCUAAGGCUAAAUACUACUUAGUGACCGAUAGCGCAUAGUACUGUGAAGGAAAGGUGAAAAGGACCCCGGGAGGGGAGUGAAAGAGAACCUGAAACCCUGUGUCUACAAGCUGUGGAAGCACUUUAUAUGUGCGACCGCGUACUUUUUGUAGAACGGUCCGGCGAGUUACGCUUACUGGCAAGGUUAAGCACUUCAGGUGUGGAGCCGUAGGGAAACCAAGUCUUAAGAGGGCCUUAAGUCAGUAGGAGUAGACCCGAAACCGGGUGAUCUAUCCAUGUCCAGGUUGAAGCUGCCGUAAGAGGUAGUGGAGGACCGAACCCACAUCCGUUGAAAAGGGUGGGGAUGAGGUGUGGAUAGGGGAGAAAUUCCAAUCGAACCCGGAGAUAGCUGGUUCUCCUCGAAAUAGCUUUAGGGCUAGCCUCGAUACAGAUUUGCGGAGGUAGAGCACUGAAUUUCCUAGGGGGCGUCAAAGCCUACCGAAGAAUAUCAAACUCCGAAUGCCGCGUAAUCGAUUAUCGGGAGUCAGACUGCACGAGAUAAGUUGGGCGGUCAAAAGGGAAAGAGCCCAGACCUUCAGUUAAGGUCCCCAAGUGCGCGUUAAGUGGAAAAGGAUGUGGGAUUUCGAAGACAACCAGGAUGUUGGCUCAGAAGCAGCCAUCCAUUCAAAGAGUGCGUAAUAGCUCACUGGUCGAGAGGUCCUGCGCCGAAAAUGUCCGGGGCUGAAACGCGCCACCGAAACUAAGGAACCGAAAGGUUGGUAGAGGAGCAUUGCAUGCGGGAAGAAGCAGUACCGUAAGGAGCUGUGGACUGCAUGGAAGAGAGAAUGCCGGAAUGAGUAGCGAGAAUAAGGUGAGAAUCCUUAUGGCCGAAUAUCCAAGGUUUCCAGAGUAAAGCUGAUCUGCUCUGGGUAAGUCGGGGCCUAAGGCGAGGACGAGAGUCGUAGCCGAUGGACAACAGGUGGAGAUUCCUGUACUGCGGUAUGACAGAACUGUGGGGACACGUAAGGAAAGCGGAAGCCGGGAAUGGAAAGCCCGGUGCAAGCGGGGUACCAGUCACUUUGGCAAAUCCGGGUGGCAAUGGGAAGCCGUGAUGCGGAGCGAAAUAAAGUAGCGAAGUCCGUGAGCCAUGCGUCAAGAAAAGCCGCUAUUGUUUGUACCGUACCCGUACCGUAAACCGACACAGGUGGAUGAGGAGAGAAUCCUAAGGCCGGCGGAAGAAGCAUUGUCAAGGAACUCGGCAAAAUGGCCCCGUAACUUAGGGAUAAGGGGUGCCUGGGAAACCAGGCCGCAGAGAAUAGGCUCAAGCAACUGUUUAGCAAAAACACAGGUCUAUGCGAAACCGAAAGGUGAGGUAUAUGGGCUGACGCCUGCCCGGUGCUGGAAGGUUAAGAGGAGAGGUUAGCGCAAGCGAAGCUUUGAAUUUAAGCCCCAGUAAACGGCGGCCGUAACUAUAACGGUCCUAAGGUAGCGAAAUUCCUUGUCGGGUAAGUUCCGACCCGCACGAAAGGCGUAAUGAUUUGAGCGCUGUCUCGACAAUGCAUCCGGUGAAAUUGAAGUACCAGUGAAGAUGCUGGUUACCU